rnacentral:rRNA from 1 species
CGCCAGCUAAGGUCCCAAAGUCAUGGUUAAGUGGGAAACGAUGUGGGAAGGCCCAGACAGCCAGGAUGUUGGCUUAGAAGCAGCCAUCAUUUAAAGAAAGCGUAAUAGCUCACUGGUCGAGUCGGCCUGCGCGGAAGAUGUAACGGGGCUAAACCAUGCACCGAAGCUGCGGCAGCGACGCUUAUGCGUUGUUGGGUAGGGGAGCGUUCUGUAAGCCUGUGAAGGUGUGCUGUGAGGCAUGCUGGAGGUAUCAGAAGUGCGAAUGCUGACAUAAGUAACGAUAAAGCGGGUGAAAAGCCCGCUCGCCGGAAGACCAAGGGUUCCUGUCCAACGUUAAUCGGGGCAGGGUGAGUCGACCCCUAAGGCGAGGCCGAAAGGCGUAGUCGAUGGGAAACAGGUUAAUAUUCCUGUACUUGGUGUUACUGCGAAGGGGGGACGGAGAAGGCUAUGUUGGCCGGGCGACGGUUGUCCCGGUUUAAGCGUGUAGGCUGGUUUUCCAGGCAAAUCCGGAAAAUCAAGGCUGAGGCGUGAUGACGAGGCACUACGGUGCUGAAGCAACAAAUGCCCUGCUUCCAGGAAAAGCCUCUAAGCAUCAGGUAACAUCAAAUCGUACCCCAAACCGACACAGGUGGUCAGGUAGAGAAUACCAAGGCGCUUGAGAGAACUCGGGUGAAGGAACUAGGCAAAAUGGUGCCGUAACUUCGGGAGAAGGCACGCUGAUAUGUAGGUGAAGUCCCUCGCGGAUGGAGCUGAAAUCAGUCGAAGAUACCAGCUGGCUGCAACUGUUUAUUAAAAACACAGCACUGUGCAAACACGAAAGUGGACGUAUACGGUGUGACGCCUGCCCGGUGCCGGAAGGUUAAUUGAUGGGGUCAGCGCAAGCGAAGCUCUUGAUCGAAGCCCCGGUAAACGGCGGCCGUAACUAUAACGGUCCUAAGGUAGCGAAAUUCCUUGUCGGGUAAGUUCCGACCUGCACGAAUGGCGUAAUGAUGGCCAGGCUGUCUCCACCCGAGACUCAGUGAAAUUGAACUCGCUGUGAAGAUGCAGUGUACCCGCGGCAAGACGGAAAGACCCCGUGAACCUUUACUAUAGCUUGACACUGAACAUUGAGCCUUGAUG